rnacentral:rRNA from 1 species
UCAGAUUGAACGCUAGCGGGAUGCUUUACACAUGCAAGUCGAACGGCAGCACGAGAGAGCUUGCUCUCUUGGUGGCGAGUGGCGGACGGGUGAGUAAUAUAUCGGAACGUGCCUAGUAGCGGGGGAUAACUACUCGAAAGAGUGGCUAAUACCGCAUACGCCCUACGGGGGAAAGGGGGGGAUCGCAAGACCUCUCACUAUUAGAGCGGCCGAUAUCGGAUUAGCUAGUUGGUGGGGUAAAGGCUCACCAAGGCAACGAUCCGUAGCUGGUUUGAGAGGACGACCAGCCACACUGGGACUGAGACACGGCCCAGACUCCUACGGGAGGCAGCAGUGGGGAAUUUUGGACAAUGGGGGAAACCCUGAUCCAGCCAUCCCGCGUGUAUGAUGAAGGCCUUCGGGUUGUAAAGUACUUUUGGCAGAGAAGAAAAGGUACCUCCUAAUACGAGGUACUGCUGACGGUAUCUGCAGAAUAAGCACCGGCUAACUACGUGCCAGCAGCCGCGGUAAUACGUAGGGUGCAAGCGUUAAUCGGAAUUACUGGGCGUAAAGCGUGUGUAGGCGGUUCGGAAAGAAAGAUGUGAAAUCCCAGGGCUUAACCUUGGAACUGCAUUUUUAACUGCCGAGCUAGAGUAUGUCAGAGGGGGGUAGAAUUCCACGUGUAGCAGUGAAAUGCGUAGAUAUGUGGAGGAAUACCGAUGGCGAAGGCAGCCCCCUGGGAUAAUACUGACGCUCAGACACGAAAGCGUGGGGAGCAAACAGGAUUAGAUACCCUGGUAGUCCACGCCCUAAACGAUGUCAACUAGCUGUUGGGGCCGUUAGGCCUUAGUAGCGCAGCUAACGCGUGAAGUUGACCGCCUGGGGAGUACGGUCGCAAGAUUAAAACUCAAAGGAAUUGACGGGGACCCGCACAAGCGGUGGAUGAUGUGGAUUAAUUCGAUGCAACGCGAAAAACCUUACCUACCCUUGACAUGUCUGGAAUCCCGAAGAGAUUUGGGAGUGCUCGCAAGAGAACCGGAACACAGGUGCUGCAUGGCUGUCGUCAGCUCGUGUCGUGAGAUGUUGGGUUAAGUCCCGCAACGAGCGCAACCCUUGUCAUUAGUUGCUACGCAAGAGCACUCUAAUGAGACUGCCGGUGACAAACCGGAGGAAGGUGGGGAUGACGUCAAGUCCUCAUGGCCCUUAUGGGUAGGGCUUCACACGUCAUACAAUGGUCGGGACAGAGGGUCGCCAACCCGCGAGGGGGAGCCAAUCUCAGAAACCCGAUCGUAGUCCGGAUCGCAGUCUGCAACUCGACUGCGUGAAGUCGGAAUCGCUAGUAAUCGCGGAUCAGAAUGUCGCGGUGAAUACGUUCCCGGGUCUUGUACACACCGCCCGUCACACCAUGGGAGUGGGUUUCACCAGAAGUAGGUAGCCUAACCGUAAGGAGGGCGCUUACCACGGUGGGAUUCAUGACUGGGGUGAAGUCGUAACAAGGUA